CCUACGGGUGGCAGCAGUGGGGAAUAUUGCACAAUGGGGGAAACCCUGAUGCAGCGACGCCGCGUGAAGGAAGAAGUAUUUCGGUAUGUAAACUUCUAUCAGCAGGGAAGAAAAUGACGGUACCUGACUAAGAAGCCCCGUCUAACUACGUGCCAGCAGCCGCGGCAAUACGUAGGGGGCAAGCGUUAUCCGGAUUUACUGGGUGUAAAGGGAGCGUAGGCGGUUUAGCAAGUCAGAAGUGAAAGCCCGGGGCUCAACUCCGGGACUGCUUUUGAAACUGUUGAACUAGAGUGCAGGAGAGGUAAGUGGAAUUCCUAGUGUAGCGGUGAAAUGCGUAGAUAUUAGGAGGAACACCAGUGGCGAAGGCGGCUUACUGGACUGUAAAUGACGCUGAGGCUCGAAAGCGUGGGGAGCAAACAGGAUUAGAUACCCCGGUAGUC
rnacentral:rRNA from 1 species